AAAGGAAUAGACGGGAACCCGCACAAGCGGUGGAGCAUGUGGUUCAAUUCGACAAUAAGCGUGGAACCUUACCAGGGCUUGACAUGCUAGAAGUAGUCACCCGGAAACGGGAGACGACCGUUAAAUCGGAGUCUAGCACAGGUGCUGCAUGGUUGUCGUCAGCUCGUGUCGUGAGAUGUUCCGUUAAGUCGGGAAACGAGCGCAACCCUCACGGCCAGUUACUAUAUCUGGCCGAACUGCCCCGCACCCAGUACAUUUGCAAGAGCAAGUGUGUUGAGUGCGGGGAGGAAGGUGAGGAUGACGUCAAAUCAGCAUGGCUCUUACGUCCUGGGCGACACACGUGCUACAAUGGUCGGCUACAAUGGGUUGCCAAACCGUAAGGUGGAGCUAAUCCCAUAAAACCGAUCUCAGUUCGGAUUGAGGUCUGAAACUCGACCUCAUGAAGCUGGAAUCGCUAGUAAACGCGCAUCAGCCACGGCGCGUUGAAUACGUUCUCGGGUUUUGUACACACCGCCCGU
rnacentral:rRNA from 1 species